ACAUAUCUAGUAUAAAUUAUUACAAAAUUUUUUCAUGAUUUAAAUCCUUAAUUAAGGGAAAUGUA
rnacentral:tRNA from 1 species